rnacentral:sRNA from 1 species
AUUUGAUCUCCCAGAAGACUCAAAACGACUAACAUCAGAAGACGCGAUGGCUUCACGUGCUGAAAGAUUCGGAAUCACUCCAAAAACGCCUGCCACAGAUGAUAAGCUGGCCGCCCGUGCCGCCCGUUUUGGAAUUCCAGUUGGUGGAGCAGCUUCAGCUUCAAAAAAUGCUCCAAAUUCUGAGGUAAAAGCUGCAAAAUUGGAUAUACAGAUGCAGAAAAGGAACUGAUCGGAGCAUUGUAUUUGCAAGAUGAAUCUGACCUUUUUUCAACUUUUUUUUUUGGUUUUUUCGAGAAAGUGGAAGAAUUUUCAUUUUUAACUUUAUUUUAUCCUUUCUGAAAAAGAAAUGAAAAAUUUGAUUUUAAUCUGAACGAGUUAUUAUUCCACGUGUUCAAAAAAAAAACGAACAAAAAAAAAGAAAAAAAAGUGGCGCGGUCUUGCCGAUGCACAGUCAUCUCUCAAAAGUUCAAAAGUAUCUUAACCCUCUCAAAAAAAAUUAUUGCGCAUCCUUGAUUUGAAGUGAACACGCCGAUCCAAAGGGCAUUGUCAAGUUGAGCGCUAUUUUUGACAAAUAUCUAGAGAACCGAAAACAGGGACGACUUUGCAGAUAUUGAUGUAAGAAUUCCAAAUAUGAAUUUAUUAUUUGUUCAAAAAUCAUUGAAAUUUUUCAAACUGAAAAAGGGCGCGGUUUCAGUUGAGAUCAAGAAGCAAACAGUUACAGUUGUUACAAUUACGUCAUUUUAGUUGUUUAAAUGAUUCACUCAUUACAUCAAAUCUUGUAUGUUACAAUAUAUCUACAUAUAUCUCUCUCAUCCUCCCUCUUUAUUCAUGUCAUCAUCUCAAACUGUCAUCCGUCUCCAGUGUUCAAUCGAUAUUUCUCGCUUUCCCCUUAUACGGAUCCUUGCUGCGCUUCUCCUUUCUCUCUACUUUCUCCUUCUAAUGUAGGCCAAUUGUCGCCAAAGACCCAAGUUCGCGAGUGAAGACAUAGUAGAAGAGGCCAAAAAUAUGUUACCAAUUCGAAAUUUUAUUCAUUUUUCUGGUUUAAUACUACUGAUGUUUUAUCUGGUAGAUGCGCAGUUUUCUCCUUGUAAUGGUAAGGUUUUUUUUGUGAUUUUUUCUGUAGGAAUUUUAGUUUUACACUCCAACAAUUUUAAGAUUUCUUUAAAAAUUCAAAAACUUUAGCCCAAGUUUCCGUAAAUUGCCAAAUUUUUUCGAAUCUUGAUUAUAAACAUUUGGAAUACAAUUAAAGUAUGAAAAGUCGUAAAAAUUAAUUUUGUUAGAUUUUCAAAAUAUUGAUAGGCUAUAACCAAAUUUAGCCCCUUUUUGGUUGGAAAUUAAACGUUUUAAAAUUAAAAAAAAACAAACAUCUUUAAUUUUCAGGAAAAUCCGCUCUCAACGGAGUCUGCGAUAUAAAUGGAGAUUGUGAGAAUAAAGGAUCGAUUUGUUUGAGAGGAAAAUGCAGGUAAAUUAGUUGUUUUGAAAUACAUUUUAUGAUAAGGUAAGAUUAAAAAUAAACUUUAUUAUUUUAGAUGCCACCCUCACUACACGGAAACUAGAGAUGAGAAGGGGCGUCUUCCAAAAUGUGCACCACG